rnacentral:rRNA from 1 species
UGGUGGAGUGAUUUGUCUGCUUAAUUGCGAUAACGAACGAGACCUUAACCUGCUAAAUAGCCCGUAUUGCUCUGGCAGUACGCUGGCUUCUUAGAGGGACUAUCGGCUCAAGCCGAUGGAAGUUUGAGGCAAUAACA